GUUCUAGGCAGAUGUACUAUGUCCCCUAAGUUAUCAUUUGCGCCCAUUUAUAGAGGAUGUUGUUUCAUCACCACUACUGAAAUAAGAUUCAACUGCUAUUUUUGGUUUCUUUAAAAAUACCAUCCAUUCCUUUUCCUUAGUGCAGGAUUUCUUAGGCUAGUUCAUUAGUAUUCUCCUCUUCUACCAUUUAUCUCAUUUGAAGAUUGCAUUAAAAAUAUAAUUCAGAAUUGAAAGAGCCUAAAUAUCAUGCGGUCUUGUAUAUCAAGGGGAAAACCUUCUGCACAAGACUUCCUCAAGUCAAAUCUAGAGUGUGGAUGGAUAAAAUCCAUUGUUGUAGGUAUAGCAGGAAAUACUGUACAUGAGGUUGAAAUAUUUCUUCCUGACUUCCAUGAUGAACAUUUGUUCCUCAUUUUUGAAGCUACCUGCUGUUUUAACUGUCAGGGUUCCCAAGUCUAGCACACAGAUUUCACUCCUAUUAUAGAGUCAUCGCUUGUCAGACUGAAUUUUCUAUAAAUGCAUAAGCGCGAGAGAAAAUAUCUUCAAUCAACAUGAAAAAAAAUCAUGUUUGUCUGUCUCUAAAAUUGUUUGAUGGGCUGUUUUUCACUUUGAGUUGCUUUUCAAAAAACCUGGGAUUGAUGUUUUUCUCUAACCAAAAUUUCUACAGGGAAUAGAUUUCUUUACCAACCAAGCUAUAAUAUGAAUUGUUGUUGUUGUUUGAAAGGCUCCUGACUUCAUUGUUAUAGUCAAAAACAGUUGUUACAGCCUACGUUGUAUCAUUCGUUAAGCAAUUAAGUUACUGAUAGGCUUUUUACAUUAUUUACUGUGAUGGAAAGAUAUAUUUACUUAACCUGAGUGCAAAUCAACAUGUAGAGGUAGAAGUUCAGAGUAAAUUUGACUAAUGAUGUUGUGUUUUCAUCCUUAGAAGUAAGGUAUAUGUGUGUGUGUGUGAGUGUGUGAGGGGAGGGGAGACUUCCUGCUUUUGAUGCUAUUUUGUUUCUGCUGGAAGAGAUCUGAAAUGAUCCAAGCUGUCGUGUGAGAGCUCAAUGAAGCUGAGAUCCCCUUUGAUUGUAUCUGAAUGUCUCUCUCAGUGAGCGGUUGCCUCCCAAACAGAGGCACAGCACACAACACUUCAGGAUGUUUACAGAAUCAUAUUUUCACCUUUCAGAUAUUCAUGUUUUCACACUGAAGUUGUUAAAGUAAAAUAUAGUGGAAAAGGUUUCCUUUGAUAAGAAGUGUAUGGAGAUCUCAGUGUGGAAAUCAAGUCCAUUUCAGGCAGAAUUUGGGCCACAAUAUGGAUCACUUCAUCUCUUGUUCUAUAAUCAAAUCUUCUAAUCAAAACUUUUAAUUUCUAUUAUUAUUUUCUUGCAGUGCAUUUCCAGCUUUUCUAGUAAUAUGGGCUGAAGGAUAUCAGAACUCCUUUGUUCCCAAUUUAUCCAACAUGAACUUCCUUGGUGAUAGAAUCCAUUUUGCAUUAUUAUCUGAAUUACCCCCUAAAAUUGAUUUUUUAAUUUUUUUUAAAAAUAUGCAGGCAGAGGGAGUCUGAAUAGUUGCCCAAAGUAAACAAGAUCCCAAUUCUAAGUCCUAACAGAACUUUUUCUGUGAUACUGCUGAGAAAUGAAGUAAAUUUACCUUCAGUGAGCAUAGCUGACAUAAAGAAUCAAACAAAGACAAAUUUAUAUACAGCAGAUGAGAAUUUCUGAGCCCAGCCACAUGGUUAUAUGUGUCAUAAUACUGUAUGCAUUGUCUGAGAGAAUCUUGAAGCCUAAAUUGUACAUUGUAAUGAGUGCACAGAAAGCAGUGAGUGGUACCUUAUACUAAAGGGCACAGAGGUCCAAAAGGUCCAUGACAAAGGCCAGCAAGUUCCAAUGAAAUCCUUGUGAGAAACUGGCAGUAUGAGCAGAGUGUAGCAUUGCUUAUGCAUGACUAUGCUUGAUACAUGCAUCUGUCAGCCAGAGAAAUUGUAACAAUUCCUUUUUGACAUAGGGCCUUUGUCUUUUUCUCAGUCAAGCAAUAUGGUAGCAUAUUUGCCACAGAUUAUUAGUUUGUAUUGUGAUAGUGAGCUUUAAAUCCUUGAAUCAUGCCACUUCAUGUCACAUUCUUAGCAAAUUUUGGCAGUCAGUAGAACAGUGGUUCUCAAUCUGGGAUCCCCAGAUAUUUUUGGCCUUCAACUUCCAGAAAUCCUAACAGCUGGUAAACUGUCUGGGAUUUCUGGAAGUUGUAGGCCAAAAACAUCUGAGGAGCAGGUUGAGAACCACUGCAAUAGUGCAUGACAUAUUGAUUCCAUAAGAUGAUGGAGGUGGACUAAAGAAGAAUUAAUAUCUCAAUUGUCUAUGUGAAUUAAGGCUAAAUUCAUACCCACAUGCUUAUCUCUUGAGCUAUGGUCAUUGUGAUGAGUGACUGGGAUGUAGGAAAUAUUAAAAAAAGAAUCCUUUUCAAAAGCAUUUAGGGUACCAGAAUCUGUAAUGCUUGUAAUACUCAACACUGUAACACAGUACUUGGAUUUAGCCCUUUGAAGGAGUGGCAGAAGAGGGCCAGGCAAGGCAGCACCUUGGACAGUUCCUAGUGAGCACCUUGUUCUUGCAAAAUCUGAAGCAGAACAGAGACCUUUUAUUCUUCUUGGCCUAAACCAGUGCUAUUCAAAAUGGUGGUCCAUUGACCAAUCCUCACCCCUGAGCCAUUGGUUGUCAGUCAUUGGAACAUUUCUAGAAAUGAAAGAAACAAUUGUAGCCAAUGGGCACAAAUAUGGCACUGGUCCUUGGCAUGCUGUGAAAAAAUGCUCCUGUGGAUUCCCCAUAUGAAAUAGCUUUUGAUGCAGUUGGGAUUUGUUUAUUGGAUUUAGAUACCUGUGGAGCUCUUGCAAAAGGACAUGUCACCCUUGCACUGGGCCUAAAUACAAUGACCACCAAUGCUGGCUGGGCUCUGGGACCUCAGAUUCAUGGGUUUCUGAUCUUUUAUAGGUGUCUAACUCUCCAGUGGUCCUGGGGCUGGAGUCUUCUCUGAUACCAUGGGUUCUUCACCUUUGUGCCCAGGCUACCUUUGGACUUAGGUAUCAUGCCAUAGACCGAGUUAUAAAAACGUAGACUUAAACACUGGUAAUGUGUACAGUUUUGAUUGUACAAUGCCAGGCAGAGCCAAGGCUGAGCUACCUUUUCUUAUCUUCUGGUUACUCUUCCAUUCUAACGCACAGCUGCCAAAAGAUUGCUUUUCCAGUAAAAACAAGCAAAGAAUAGGCAUAAAACACAGUGUUCAUUCAGCUUAGCCAUAGUACUUAGCAGUCAUAUAGCUUCAAUGUCUAGGAAAGUAACUUUUUUGGACUACAGUUCCAGAAACCCUUGGCAUGGCCAAUGGUCCAAAAAGUAACUUUCUAAAAGUCUAUACAGCAGUAAUUUUAGAUGUUACUUUUAGAUCUUGAUUGUAACUGCAAGUUUGUUUAUUUGGGAGUUCAGUAGAGUCUCACUUAUCCAACAUUAUCCAACACAUGUUUGUAGUAGAUUUUUUCAAUACAUUGUGAUAUUUUGGUGCUAAAUUCAUAAAUACAGUAAUUACUACAUAGCAUUACUGCAUAUUGAACUACUUUUUCUGUCAAAUUUGUUGUAUAACAUGAUGUUUUGGUGCUUAAUUUGUAAAAUCAUAACCUAAUUUGAUGUUUAAUAGGCUUUUCCUUAAUCCGUCCUUAUUACCCAACAUAUUCACUUAUCCAACGUUCUGCCGGCCCGUUUAUGUUGGAUGAGUGAGAUUCUACUGUAAUUAUUAGCAGUCAUGUGUAGUAUAGGGCAAGGAUUAUGCCAUUGUAGGAAUAGUUCAUACAAUUUACUUCCUUGUUACAUGUUUAAUUCCAGGUGCAAAUGUGCUUUAGAGCUGCAGAAACACAAGGUAUCACACAUGCAUACACUGGUAUAUAAGUAUUAGCUGACUGUGCUAGUAUUAAUUACUAUGUGUCGCAAUGAAGAUUAAAUUUGAUUUCCAUUUAAGCAAUAUUAAAAUCUUAAGAGCACAGAGAAUAUAGUUUCAGUCUGACUAGAAUUGGGUAAUUUAUUCUUAAAUUGCACUAUAAUACGUAUGCCUCAUUUUUAAAAAAGAGCUGUGCCUUCUGGGAAACUUAGGGCUGCUUCCAACUAUCUGUCUUAAGUACAUCCAAGAAAUGUUUGCAUGAAGCUAGAUGCCGGAAGCCAGAAGGCCUUUCUUAGGCACACUUGUGUGAUGAGUCGUCUCCUCCUUGUCACAAAGCUGCAUCAUUCUUGGCUUUGGGCGCAGUAUUUUUGGAAUGUUGAAUUAAGAGGAAAUAAUUGGCCAAUUCUGAAUUUUAGCCAAGAGUUUUGAACUCCUACCUAACUCUUGUUUAUCUUCUUCAUGCUUAUCAUUUCAAUCUGGCAGUGUUUUGGUCUUCCUGCCUGAUUUUUUUCUCUGUGUAAUUUAAUAAAGUACUUUUGCUUGUGAUAAGUAACACCCCAGAUUUGAUAUGGAAAAAAAUUGAACAAGAUAUCUGAGUAACGUUGUUCACAUCAUGUCUGUCAAAUAUUUCAGGGAUGGGGACUGAAAAUGAUUCUGCAUCCAAGCAUCAGUUCAAGCAUUAUUCCUCACCCGGAGCCCUUUCACACUGCUCAGUUAUGGCACUAUGAUUCCACUUUAACUGCCAUGUCUGCAUCCUAUGGAAUCCCGGGGGUUGUAGUUUGGUCAGAGGCACCAGAGGAGCCCCCUGGCUGAGAAUUAAAGGCAUUCCUUUCCAAACUACAAAUUCCAGAAUUCCACCAGAUGUUGGCACCACAGCUGAAGUAGAAUCACAGUGCUGUAACUAUACAGUGUGAAAGUAGUCCUGGAGCUGCUCCAUUACAAAACACUAAGCAGGAGCAUAACCCACAUUUUUCUUUGUGUCAGGAGUGACUUGAGAAACUGCAAGUCACUUCUGGUGUGAAAAAAUUGGUGGUUUGCAAGGACAUUUUACCAUCCCAUGGGAAGCUUCUCUCAUGUCCCUGUGUGGUAAGCUGGAGCUGACAGAUGGGAGCUCACUCCACUCCCCAGAGUCCUGCAGGCACAAGGGUUUAACCCAUUGCACCACUGGGGGCUCUGGUGCUUGAUUUCUAUGCAUAUUUAUUCAGAUGUAAAUCCAACAAUACUUGAGAGGGCUUGGGGCUCAUCCACAAUACAUAGUUAUGGUACAAUAGACUCUCAGUUCAGCAAAAACACAAGUAACUUGAACUCUCAAGCAACCUUCAAAAAUUGAAGAAAUACUUCAAAUAAAAUUAAAAUAAAACAUUUGUAGUGAAGCAAAGCUGUUUCUAUAUUACAGUAAAACUAUGAUAUUACUAAGUUAAGUUUUCUUGAUUUGCUUUUAUUGACUGUAUUUCAAUAUUAAUAUCAAGGCAAUAUGAGUGUAUGGUAUGUGUAGUAUGGGAUAUGGUAUUAGGCCUAUUUUUAAUAGUGACUCUCAAAUAAUCAGAAACAACAUUUAUCUGGCAUUUACGAAUUCGCAUGGGUGCCAGUUAACUGAGAGUCUGCUGUACUAUUAUUUCACAUUAACUAUUGUGGCUCAACCCAAUGGGAUCCUGGAGUUUGCAGUUCAGCGAGGCACUACAACACUCUGGCUGAGAAUUCUUAGUUCCUUUUCCUUAACUACCAAUACCACAAUUUCAAAGGAAUGAAUUGCAACAGAUAAAUUGGAAUCAUAUCAAUAUAAUUCUAUAGUGUGAAGGAGCCCUUAUUCCUUAGAAAAAGCAUGUAAGAUUGCAUAUCUUUAGUCUGUCAAGGGCACUACACUCUGCAAUUAAUUUACUAGUUUUAAUAUUUCAUUUUAGUCUGUUUCAGGUGAAGCGUUGUUGUGUAACAGUGAAAUAGAGCAACUCAACAACGAAACCGUUGUAAAAGACAUUGGGACCAGUGGGUAAACAGCUUUUUCAAAUCUCAUGUGGUUGGACAAAACCAACAGGAAGGGCAAAAGAAGAAGAUGAAACAGACUUGGUUCUGGCUUUUUACACCAAUGGUAAUACGGGGAAAGAAUCCAAGCUUGAUGUAAAACUGAACAUGUGCCACUUUUGUAGGUUGCACAUUAAAACAAUAUGAUUCACUCACUGCCUUUAAACAUGAGAGCUAAGGCUGUACUAAUUCCCAGCUGUGCAUAAUGCCAAUUAGAUACUCAUUAAAUUAACAUUGAUAGCCUAUCUGAUGGGAGCUACAGUGCCAGAUUAGUGCUAUUGCACUAAAUUAGAAGGGCAGGGAGCAGUUCCAUGAUUUUGAACCAUCGUUUCACACAACAAACAUUUCUGCAGACAGCUCACCCACAGUUCCCCAACUUGUGGCCUAGCAGAGAUGUGAGAAUAGUUGCUCUAUAACAUGCGAAGAAUUGAGUGCAUUGAAUCAGCACAUUUGAGAUAUCUUUCCUCCAAAUCCUGUGUUGAAGGUGACAUCAUUCAAGAAAAAGAUACAGAAAAGGAUCCGGUAAGAUUGUUUUUCUCUGAAGGUAGGUUUAAGAGAACGUUGUUGAUUGGUAUAUUUGAGCUGAGAAGUCAAGCAAUGCCAACAACAUGAUAUGUAUCAAUAUAUGCAUUUUUUUACAUUCUUAAUUAAGAUGGGCACAAGUGGUGCAUAACAAGGUUGCAAAAUAAACCUUGAAAGUGAGAACCUUGACAGCUGUCAGUUAUUGGCUUUGUAAUACACUAUGUUGUUCGUUGAAUCUAAUUAGUUGAACUUGGCUCAGUGGAACUGAAUCAUAAGGCCCAUGUGCAUGACUGCUGCUUACCAAAAUAAUAAAUUAUCAUUCUAAAUUGCAGCACACUCUCCUUUUUACUGUGCAGCCGUUUACCAUUCAGGAUUAUUUCUGCUCCUGCUCUCCUUACUUAUGCUUGAUUUAUGAAAGAGCAUUAAUCACAAACCAACACAUAGUGGAAGAUAGCAUGAUGAUAACUAAACAUUUGAAUUGGGUGUUAGGGCUGUGUGUGGGUGGAAAUGAAAUAUGGAGUCAGAACUUCAGUUUCUUGUUAAUUUUAGCUCAGUUAAUUUCAUUAUUUCAUGGAGGAGUCUUUGGAAUGAGUGCAGUUUUGGGAAGGAGAAACACUGGGUAACAUUACAGAGUACAGCCUGCAUAAAAUUACUCAGUCCUCAACAACAUGAUAGAAUAAUAGAGUUGGAAGAGACCACAUGGGCUAUCUAGUCCACCCCCCUUCCAUGCAGGAAAAGCACAAAGCACCUCUGAUAGGUGGACAUCCAGACAAAAGACAUCCAUCCAAAGAAGGAGCUUCCACCACACUUUGAGGCAGAUAAUUUCACUGUUGAACAGCUCUUACUGUCAGAAAGUUCUUGUAAUGUUCAAGUGAAAUCUCCUUUCCUAUAAUUUGACCCCAUUGUAUAUGGCCGACCCCUGUUUUUAGUCACAAAUUUUGUUCUAGGUGCUUCUACUAUUUCAACUUAGCCCAAGUUGAACAGAAAAAAGGUUACAAAGAGCUUCUUAUUUGUGAUGACAGAAUAAAACAAAGAUUUCUGAAUUCACAGUGUGGACUAUAAGGUUGAGUCAUGACCUACUUUGUAUUUCAGUUGCACAUUCAAAGAAGUAAUCACUCACCUUCAUUCUGAGGUGGAAUAUCUGAAGUGCCUCUUGUAGCAAGUCCCUGUGUCAUGUUACUUCAUUUGUGCCCUGUUAAGUUUGGUCCUUGUUAGCUUUUCUAACCACCAUGGGUUUUCUCACAAAGGGCUCUGUGUGCACAGUUAGAAGGAGAGAGUUUUAAUACUUUCCCUGGAGUCACUGUCAAUUGAUAACUGAUAUAGGUUUUUAGUAUAGGUUAAGUUUUCAUUGCACUCAGAGGCUUUGCUUUUGAGGACAAAAUAAAAAAUUCCUGUCUGUUCCUAGAAACUCUGCAUUUCUCAUUGACAAUGUUUGGGAAUUCCUUCAUGGGAAUCACAGGAAUGGGGUAGAACAUAUCAAGCCCCCCCAGAAAUUAUUGUCAAGUAACCUUUCUAGUUUCUAAAUCCCUGUUUUUUGCUAGCCAUCUUCUCAAAUACUGCAGUAACAAUCUCCUUCAAUAUUCUUCUUAAUUGAUGGGAUGAUGGGGCAGAUUAAAAGCUGUCCAUACCCUCAAAAUGGGCAACAGUGAAACCAAUGAAACUUAGCCAUAAACAGAGAAUGUGGGCACAUCUACACUGAUCACUUCAUGCAGUUUGAAAGCAACUUGAGACCAUGGUAUUUACAUGAAGCAUGUUGUGAAUGUGCAUAACAUUAACAUAAAUGACUUUAAAUGACUUUAAAGUGGGAUAAACAAAAUCAGGGGAUAUCUUGAAAAAGAGCUUGUAAUGCUCAUCAGCAUGCCUAAGUGUAAACCAUAUCACAUGGGAAACUUAUAGAGGGAUGGAUGCUCCAGUGAUCCACACAUGCACAUUGGAAUUGAAUCUUCCAUGGCCACAAAGCUGUGGAUACUGCAAAUGGUGGAACCAGGUUGAAGCCAACCUCUUCAGUGCAUGUAAGCACCAUUCAGGCCCAGUGCUUCCCAUGUAAUCAUCCCCACAUUGAAAUCACGUCCUCCUUUGCUAGUAUCAUACCAACCUAACUGGUCAAUGUAGAUAUUAGGCAUGUGCAAUCCAUGAAAAAAAUGGUUCAAUACUCACUUUCAAAGUAGAGGGCGCUGGUGCUUCAUUUCUAAUUUUAUUUCUGGUUUUUGAACCAAAAAUUUCAGAACUUUCUGAGAAUUCGGAAUAUUAGUAAUUACUUCGUUAAUGGCAGACACGCAUGCGCAAUCGCAAAAAACAGCACUGGGGGAAAUUUACAGGACUCUCCUGCGCUCAUUUUUUGAGCUAUCCUGAUCGAAUUUGGUACAGUGGUAGAACACAUUUAACACUGCUAGCUCACCAAACUGCAGAAUGAUUCCCUUAUCCUCUGAGUUUUGGCAAGUUUUCAUAGCUUAUAUAAGAAACCAUUUUUUAAUAAUUGCAGAAAUCUGUUUCUGCUUUGAAAGUCUUAUUUCCUGUUUCAUAGAACAAGGACUUUACUUUAAAAGUCCUUGUUCUACUUGGGAACCUUUGUUUUUGUGGCCGAAGCUCCAUGAAAUUGGUGGACACAGUGCUGCCACAAUGUGCAAUGUGCUGUCAUCCGGGAAGCUCCAGACGUGGAGCAGCCCACCUGGGAAGUGCCUGGGUUACUGGGAGAGAAGCGAUGGGGAUCACAGUACUUCUGGCAAGCAAACAAACACACACCAACUGUGGCAAAGGCAGCAAGGCAGAGAGGAACUUGAAUUUGUCCCAGCAGCCAGGCAGGGAAUGUAACGUGGUGGAAGGCUCCAGACAUGGAGCGGCCCACCUGGGAAGUGCCUACCUGGGUUACUGUGAGAGGAGCGAUGGGGAUCACAGUACUUCUGGCAAGCAAACAAACACACACCAACUGUGGUAAAUGCAGGAAAGCAGGGAGGGACUUGAAUUUGUCCAGUGGCAGAGAAUGUGCAGCCAGAGAGUAACCCUAACCUAAACCUGUACCCAACACACAUGCAAAACGAGGAAGGCAUGCUUGGCAUUUGAGUGCCUCUCCCGGCCCCCGCUAUUUAAUUAAAAAAUGCUUUCAAGUUUCUCCCUCCCAAUCCCAAAAAACUUUACUUUAGUGAACUUCUACUAAUUUUUAUUUUUAAGAUUUUAUAAGAAAAAUAAAAGGAGCCCCUUUGCCCUUCCAAUGGUGCAGUAAGCUGCUCCAAACUAACCGCUGUCCAAAGCCAGCGAGGCCCAAUCUCCCUCUCCCAAACAACCCACACCUUUUCCCCAAACCCCCUCUUUUCUUCAGUUAAGUUCUAAUUAUUUAUUUUUAAAAUUUUAAAAGAACCCCCCCCCCUUUUCUUCAAUGGCUGCAAUGGAUGGUGCUGCAAGACACUCCAAAGCCAGCCAGCCAGACCCAACCACCCGCUCCGACGCCCCAACGCCAAAUGCCUCAUGGCACUCCACCACAGGCGCUUUUCAAGGAGGCACGUAUGGGACGUGGAGCACGUACAAACCCCUUCCCCUUACAUUAACAUGCACUGCGAUUGGUCAGGGAGGCAAGGCCAUGUUAGCCUGCGCUCCGCUCCCAAACAAGUUUGUUUGGAUUAAUUUUUUAAAAUAAUAAUAAUAAAUUCUGAUCAAAUUUUGAAGCCAUUACAAACAUUUGGCUAGAAUGCUUCGAAAUCGCGGGUUAGAUCUGACAUGGUAACCUGCAUCGGAACCACAUUCACAAGUCAGAUUAAAUCCGUUUUUAAUCUGAAUUACAAGGGAUCCGAUGAUUUUGCUCAAGCUUAGGGACAGGACACAGUCGAUGUGCAGAAUAGCUUAUUCUGGAUCUGAAAGGACACAGGUUCUUUUCCUGGUACCUCCAAUGAGACCAACUGAUGGGAAAGACCUUUCUGCCUGAACCCCUGAAAGGCCAUCCAGUAUUGCCAGGGUAGAGAGUACUGAGCUAGAUGCACAAUAAGUCUGGGUUAGAAUAAAGGCAUCUCCUUUACAUUUUUUUUUUACUUUUCACUUUGCACCCUCAAAAAGAAUCCAGAAAAAGGACAUAAACAAAAGCAUAGUGUGGACACUCGUGAUUCACCAGGUAGAUCCACCAUGGUGUGACUGACCAAUUGACUGAAAACGCAGGAAUUCCAUUGGAACACACACCGUGUUGCUCUGAGUCCCCUCGGGGAGAGAGGGCAGUCUUUAAAUAAAGUAUUUUCUUUAUUAUUUUAUUAGUUAAUGAUCCUAUGUGGAAAUUUCACUCAAGGUAGCAAUGGCAAUUUGUAACAAAGCAUGCUAUGUGAGUGCUGAAUAUAUAUAAAAGAGCCUUUUCUAAUGCCAGGUAUCAUUUCUUUAUUCUAGUAAACAUACCUGGGAUUAGAAAGAAAUAUGCACACUAUAGUCUCAAAGGAAAUACUAAUCUGAUUGCUAUUCUUGUGUCUAACUGGUUGUUAAGAGAAAGACAACAUGGCAUUAUUCUCUCUAAGCUACCAACAAAAUAAAGCCACCUUCCUUUCAGUGCAAUUUUCUAAAUAAUAAGGAAAACAUUAAUCUCCGCUAAGCUCUCCACCGCCCUGGUAUGAUCUGGUAUGAUCAAGAAAAACAUCUCUCUUACCUAUAGUUAUCUGUGCUUUUUGUGGUAAAUGCAAUCAGAGACUCUUGCUCAUUGGAGCAAUUUGUAGACAGGUUAAGUAAAUUAAAUCACUCAGUCAUUUUUUUUACAACAGCUGUAAAGUUAAAAGUAAUCUGUAAAGAAAAUACACAGUUUCAAUUGGUUUGUAAUAUGCACUAAUGAUCUUGGGUAAAAAUUUCUGAUAACACACUACAUUUUCCCCAGGGACACUUUUCUGAAUAAGUGGAUUUUUUUUAAAAAAAGGCUGAGAUGUGAUUAGUUAGUGAUUUCUUUGAAAUAAAAAGCUGUUAAAGCAUGAAUUGCAUAGAUACAUCAGUUAACAGGAGUAGCAUUUUUAUGAAUAGUACACAUUGUGUCCAAAUGCUUUUUGUCCUUAAAAGAAAAAAAGGUUCCAAGUUUGCAGUUUCUAACAGAGCCCAAAAAUAUAAGGAUCACAGUGGGCAUAAUGUUUUUUUAUGGAGCUAUUUUAGAGGCAGAAGGCAUAUUCCAAUGGCAACAUCAUCCACAUGGCUAGAGUGAAGGAGACCUUGCUUCCCCUGCCUUUGGUGCAUUCAGUCAACUAUCUGAUCAGAGGGUAUGUACACCUAUAUCAUCUCUUAUAUGUGUGUGCCUCUGUGUGGGGACUUCUCUAGAGGUUUGUUUAAGCUCACGAAGGUCAGAACCAUUUGGGCAUAUUCAUGGUUUCACUCUGUGUACUCAGAUGUACAAAGAAUCAUAAUCUGAACAGAAUUAUGAAGUGUAACAUAAAUGGUUUCUUUCCUCUGAAUGUAGUUAUUUUCAGGACAGAAAUCUGUGUUCAUUUCUAUUUAAAGUACAGUGGGGCCUUGGUAUCUGCUGUGGUUUGGUUCCUGUAUUCCCCAUUGGUACUAUAUCAUAUUCAAGUCCCAUUAUAUACAAUAGUGUAAAAACCCAUGCCCCUUAUAUAAAAUUCUUUUGAAUAUUUUCAAGCCACGGAUGGCUGAUUCCAUGGAUGCAGAUUCUAUGGCUAGGGAGAGCUUUCCUUAUCCUUAAACUCAUUGGCUACCAUUCAACUUAGGGCCAGGUACAGUCUCAACUUAUUUCCAGAAUAACUAAUUCUGUGCUGAAUUAUGGCUUCUGAACAUUUGAAAUCAAUAAGCGUAGGAACAUGCAAUUCUGUCCUGUGCUGUACCUUCUCUUCUUUGGAAUCAGUGCUGUCUUCAGCAAUUGAAAAUCACUUCAGAGUUAGAGCUAGUUUGCUGAAUUACAUUAGAACCCCUUCUGUUUUGGAUGUGUUUCUCUCACAAUGGCUAGUUGGACAGUUCUUGCAAGUUCUGAUGCAUGAAUGAAUUGCUCUGCCUCAUAAAGAUGUUUCUGGUCAAUUCAAUGUAACAGGAUUGCCCUGAACAAAGAGAAGAAUGCAUGAAGUUCUAUCUCGGAUGGAGUGAACAGAGAAAUGGAAAACUCAAAUGGCCUGUUUGAUGGCAUUUGGAGAUUUGGAAUAACCAAGAAAAGAGGUAUCAGUGUGCACAAGUGGAACCAGAAGUUCAGAGUACACAAUGUUUUCAGAAAAUAAAAAGCUUAGGGAGAAGAAUCCCAAGGUGGGACUCAUCCUAACUAACAGCUAAUAAAGACCAAGUAUGCUCUUUUGUAGAAAUAGAAAGCUGCCUCUCUGGGGAGGGUACAACACAGAACAGAACUUCCUUUAAGAAGGCCAGCUUGGCUGGAAGAGCAACCAGCAGCAUGGCAUGUUUCAAAGUUUUCUUGCAGGUCCAACUAACGCAAGAGAUUUGAUAUAACUUAUACUGAAACAAUAUACCACUUCAGUCGGCGAGAGCUCUCUAAGGUAUCAGGUGGAAAUCCUUCCAGGCCCGGCUACUUAAUAUCUCCUGAACAAUUGUGCCAAAGGGAAAGAAUAAAUAAAUAAGAUGGAGCCUGGGAGUUUUUCCGCAUGAAAUAUGCCACCCCCACCACCACACAUUAAUUCAUUUUUAUGUUUGGUGACAGUAAUUAACACAUGGCCUGAUGUGGACAACCACCUUCAAACUCCAAAUUAAAUUUCUUCUAGCAUACAUAGAAGAAAGCCUUAUUAUUCCUUUUGUCCCAAUUUGAUUAUGUUCUCUUUAGCAUCUUGUAUAUAGCACCUAAUUCCAUCACUUGCUAAAAAUCCCCUUUGCAUGAUUUUGUAUAAAAUAUUAAACGACACUAAUGAAUAAUAUGUUAACAUAUCCUAGUCAAAAGCCUUUUCAGGGAUAAAAACAUUCAUACGUUCCCUGGUUAUUUAUUAUUGAUUACUGUUGCUUUUGAGGAAGUCCUGAUGAUUGUUUUGGGUGUUUUUAAAUCCUCUCUAGAUUCCUGUUUUUUUGCGCGGGGGGGGGGGGGGGGUUGGCGUUCUUUUAUUGUACAAUAGUAAUACAUUCACAUUUAUUUCAUUAAAACCCUCUUCUUUUGGUGCUUGAUGGCACGAUUGGAAAAAAGAACCCACAGAACAUAUUGUCUUGUCUAUUAAAUAAAUAUAAACAGUGCUGCCAUGGUGUGCUGCAAAAAGUAAUUAUAUUGCUAGUCACCAUCCUAACAGUUCAUUUCAGGCAAUAAAUCCUGAUCAACAAACAAUACUUCUUCAGUGCUAAAUUGGAUCUCGGUUGUAAUUGAAUGUCCUUAACUUAGUAUUCUCUUGGAUUGGAGAAUAUCAUUUUCAUGUACUCUCUUUAAAUUUUCAUUAAGGAAAACUACAGCUACCUGCUGCCUCAUCUGGUUGUGUUUAAUGAGAGUCCCUUCCUCCCUCUUUGUAUCAGCAUGAGCCUUCUCUAAAUUGGUCAACUGGGUGGAACAUUAUUUCCAUGAAUUUAAUUCAGUUCAAAUUAGUCUUGUAAAAAUAAUGAUUUAAAAUGACAUAGGAUACUAGCCAACAUGGUCUUUCCAUGGUGGAACAGUAGGAUUCAGUAGAACUGGGAGGAGGAUGACCUCCUCUUCCUACUGCAGACCCAAGAAUUCCUCAAAGCUCUUCCAAAAUCAUAGAGACCUUCUGGAAUUGGGUUUUAGGAGGCAUUGUGGUCUAUUGGAAAUUCAAACACUUUCCCCAGUGAAACUGAGCUGAAUAUGAUUCAAUGCCCACAACUCUAUUUACAUUCUAUAAGCAAUUGUAAUAAAGGAGAGUCAUCCUUGCCCAUUAAUUUUCAUAGAACAAAGUGACAAUAUAGCUGACUUCAACAGGAUUUAAAAUGUUCUUAACCAUUCUUCUGUUACUCUUAGAGAAUGGUAGACUCCAGUUUGGUGAGGGGCAAUGCAGUGUCCAUUAUGCAGAGGCCAUGGGGACUGGUAUCUUCCAUGUCAGUGGAGGGAUGAAUCUGCUCCAGGUUUUUUUCUGAACUUUGAAGCAGCUCUCCAAGCAUGAACCUAUCUUAGGGAUAAUAUUUUAGCACCUUGGAGGGCUCCUUUAAACUUCAGACUAAAAUUCAAAGCAGAUUCACCAUCACACUAUUAUGGAUAUUUCCAGUUCCCAGACUCAGAGAGAUAUAGGUUCCAAGCUUCUUUACAACAUACAAUCAUUCAGUCAAUUCCCUCCACCAAUGCCUUCACUGUCCCAAUGUACAAUUCAAGUAGCUUUAAAAAAUAUAUUGAAUCCAUUACUAUAUUGUUUGGAAAAAGUGUUCUUUGUUAUCUAUAUGUCUGUUAAUUUUGUAAUGCAAAUAAACAAAAUGAAAAAAUGAUGCAUCUGCAAUAAAAUGAUUCUUUUAUUUUA